rfam:Stegodyphus mimosarum contig27319, whole genome shotgun sequence.
GCCUUCAUGGUGUAGUUAUCAGCAGACUCGACGCGUAACCGAGAGGUCCGUGGUUCGAUUCCCGGCGAAGGCG